GCCGAGGUGGCGGAAUUGGCAGACGCACAUGACUCAGGAUCAUGUGGGAUUUUUCCCGUGCGGGUUCAAGUCCCGCCCUCGGCA
rnacentral:tRNA from 1 species